rnacentral:rRNA from 1 species
GAUGAACGCUGGCGGCGUGCCUAAUACAUGCAAGUCGAGCGAACAGACGAGGAGCUUGCUCCUCUGACGUUAGCGGCGGACGGGUGAGUAACACGUGGAUAACCUACCUAUAAGACUGGGAUAACUUCGGGAAACCGGAGCUAAUACCGGAUAAUAUAUUGAACCGCAUGGUUCAAUAGUGAAAGACGGUUUUGCUGUCACUUAUAGAUGGAUCCGCGCCGCAUUAGCUAGUUGGUAAGGUAACGGCUUACCAAGGCAACGAUGCGUAGCCGACCUGAGAGGGUGAUCGGCCACACUGGAACUGAGACACGGUCCAGACUCCUACGGGAGGCAGCAGUAGGGAAUCUUCCGCAAUGGGCGAAAGCUUGACGGAGCAACGCCGCGUGAGUGAUGAAGGUCUUCGGUUCGUAAAACUCUGUUAUUAGGGAAGAACAAAUGUGUAAGUAACUAUGCACGUCUUGACGGUACCUAAUCAGAAAGCCACGGCUAACUACGU